rnacentral:RNase_P_RNA from 1 species
AAGGAUGGAUAUGCAAUCGCUUUGCAUUUAUUGUAAAGAGGAAAGUCCGAACUUUAACUGCAUAUUUGAUGAUGUUGUUGUGUAGUAAACGGUAACAGGUAAUACCUGUCGCUUGUAAAAGCAGAGGUGCGAACAGAGACGCUUUUUUCAGAAACGGAAAAAGUAUCCUUGAGAAAGGAUAAGUUUUUGCAGUAAUGCAAAAGAUGAAACGGCUAAAUCCUUACCGGAAAGCAAGGCUGAGAGAGAGUUUAUAGCCGCUUGACCGUUAUGAGCAAUUUUAACGGCAGAGAAAUGAUUGCACUUUUAAUUUUGGUUAAAAGACAGAAUUCGGUGUAUAAUCCAUCUUUAUAA